AGAGUUUGAUCCUGGCUCAGGACGAACGCUGGCGGCGCGCCUAACACAUGCAAGUCGAACGGAGCUUAGAGAGCUUGCUUUUUAAGCUUAGUGGCGAACGGGUGAGUAACGCGUGAGUAACCUGCCCUAGAGUGGGGGACAACAGUUGGAAACGACUGCUAAUACCGCAUAAGCCCACGGUAUCGCAUGAUACUGAGGGAAAAGGAUUUAUUCGCUUUAGGAUGGACUCGCGUCCAAUUAGCUAGUUGGUGAGGUAACGGCCCACCAAGGCGACGAUUGGUAGCCGGACUGAGAGGUUGAACGGCCACAUUGGGACUGAGACACGGCCCAGACUCCUACGGGAGGCAGCAGUGGGGGAUAUUGCACAAUGGGGGAAACCCUGAUGCAGCGACGCCGCGUGGAGGAAGAAGGUUUUCGGAUUGUAAACUCCUGUCGUUAGGGACGAUAAUGACGGUACCUAACAAGAAAGCACCGGCUAACUACGUGCCAGCAGCCGCGGUAAAACGUAGGGUGCAAGCGUUGUCCGGAAUUACUGGGUGUAAAGGGAGCGCAGGCGGGAAGACAAGUUGGAAGUGAAAACCAUGGGCUCAACCCAUGAAUUGCUUUCAAAACUGUUUUUCUUGAGUAGUGCAGAGGUAGAUGGAAUUCCCGGUGUAGCGGUGGAAUGCGUAGAUAUCGGGAGGAACACCAGUGGCGAAGGCGGCCUACUGGGCACCAACUGACGCUGAGGCUCGAAAGCAUGGGUAGCAAACAGGAUUAGAUACCCUGGUAGUCCAUGCCGUAAACGAUGAUUACUAGGUGUUGGAGGAUUGACCCCUUCAGUGCCGCAGUUAACACAAUAAGUAAUCCACCUGGGGAGUACGACCGCAAGGUUGAAACUCAAAGGAAUUGACGGGGGCC
rnacentral:rRNA from 1 species